rnacentral:rRNA from 1 species
CUGAAGUUGCAGCCCUACGUGCAACGCUCGGUGGUCUCGCGCCCAUGCGCCAAGCUUGCAUAUAAGUUCUUCAGCCCCUACACCGUCUUGGAGAAGAUUGGACCACUGGCGUAUAGGAUGGAUCUGCCGCCAGACAGCCGCGUGCAUCCAGUCUUCCACGUCUCCCAGCUGAAGCCGUUCACGACGGAUUACACGCUAGUGUUCGCCGAGCUUCCCCGAGUCCACGACCUGUUGGCUUCACUGACAGAACCCGUCAAGAUCCUGGAGCGGCGCAUGAUGAAGCACGGCGACGCGCCCGUGGUGCAGCUCAAGAUCCCGUGGUCAUCGUCGUCUCCGGACGCGGCCACCUGGGAGGACUACGACGUUCUAUGCCGACGCUUUCCCACGGCCACCAUCUGGGAGGGAGAAGCCUCGUCUUAA